UAAGAGUUAGUUUAUUUAGAAUUGUUGACUGUUAAUCAAAAGGAGCACUCUUAAU
rnacentral:tRNA from 1 species